AUUCACAUUUAUCCCUUGCAAAAACCGUCCCUCUCUCUCCAAAUUUUGCUUCCAGUGCUCGUUAAUAAUGCAAAGGUUACCUAAACAAAGCAGAAUGUCCCAACAAACGACCACAAGCUGGUGUUUAAACAACACAAACACCGCAGAAAAAAGGCGGGAAGACGCCGGCCUAUCGUUCGCGCCAAACAUGACGGCUCCCUGGGGAGAAACGAUCGCUGAUUGGCAGCCAUCUUUGGUGAGUGUUUACCGGCUGUAAAGCAAACAAACACAGUUUUUUCAACAUGUUGCUGUCGGUAAAUUUCUCAGUGAGCUUAAAACCACUGAUAUCAAAACGAGAUUCGCAUUAAGUUUUCGCUCUUUGGCGUUCUAGCAACAUACAUUUACACAGGUAUUUCUGCAGAGGAAACAUGUAUGUCAACUUCAAUUGAAGGAAAUGGGAAACAAAACAAUUCGUCCGGAGUAUGGAAACUUUUAUUUGUUGUUAAAACAGGUCUACCCAUUGUUGUGAUAACCUUUACACACAAGACUGCUUCAACAAAUGAUGUCACUUCGUAAACAAAGUGAUCGUGUUAGCCAAACUGAUAAAAUACUGGUUGUAUUCAAGAAAUCGACUAAAACCAUUUGCUUGUGACGAACGCCGGCAAGGUUAAAUAUUGUAACUUGUUUGCAACUUGGUCCUUUUCUUUUGUAAUAAUAAAAAUCUAAAGAUGACUUUGGUUCACGAAAACUUCUUACAACUGGAUAUCACACAGA